GACGUAGGAUGCAAGCGUUGUCCGGAUUUAUUGGGCGUAAAGAGUUCGUAGGCGGCUUGUUAAGUCUGGUGUUAAAGACUGGGGCUCAACCUCGGGAGUGCACUGGAUACUGGCAGGCUUGAGUAUGGUAGAGGCGAGCGGAAUUCCCAGUGUAGCGGUGAAAUGCGUAGAUAUUGGGAAGAACACCGGUGGCGCAAGCGGCUCGCUGGGCCAUUACUGACGCUGAGGAACGAAAGCUAGGGGAGCGAAUGGG
rnacentral:rRNA from 1 species